AACGAACGCUGGCGGCAUGCCUAACACAUGCAAGUCGAACGAGACCUUCGGGUCUAGUGGCGCACGGGUGCGUAACGCGUGGGAAUCUGCCCUUCGGUUGGGAAUAACUGAGAGAAAUUUCAGCUAAUACCUUAUAAUGUCUUCGGACCAAAGAUUUAUCGCCGAGGGAUGAGCCCGCGUAGGAUUAGGUAGUUGGUGGGGUAAUGGCCUACCAAGCCGACGAUCCUUAGCUGGUCUGAGAGGAUGAUCAGCCACACUGGGACUGAGACACGGCCCAGACUCCUACGGGAGGCAGCAGUGGGUAAUAUUGGACAAUGGGCGAAAGCCUGAUCCAGCAAUGCCGCGUGAGUGAUGAAGGCCUUAGGGUUGUAAAGCUCUUUUACCCGGGAUGAUAAUGACAGUACCGGGAGAAUAAGCUCCGGCUAACUCCGUG
rnacentral:rRNA from 1 species